CCAAUAGCGUAUAUUAAAGUUGUUGCAGUUAAAAAGCUCGUAGUUGAAUUUCGGGAUCAAUAUAUCGGUCGUGCCUUCGGUACGUACUGGUAUCAUUGGUUUCUCCUUUCUGACGAACCAUGAUGUCAUUAAUUUGGUGUUAUGGGGAGUUAGGACUGUUACUUUGAAAAAAUUAGAGUGUUUAAAGCAGGCUUUAGCUUGAAUACAUUAGCAUGGAAUAAUGAAAUAGGACGUUCGAACCUAUUUUGUUGGUUUCUAGGAUCAACGUAAUGAUUAAUAGGGAUAGUUGGGGGCAUUAGUAUUCAAUUGUCAGAGGUGAAAUUCUUGGAUUUAUUGAAGACUAACUACUGCGAAAGCAUUUGCCAAGGAUGUUUUCAUUAAUCAAGAACGAAAGUUAGGGGAUCGAAGACGAUCAGAUACCGUCGUAGUCUUAACCAUAAACUAUGCCGACUAGGGAUCGGAUGAUGUUAAUUUUUUAAUGACUCAUUCGGCGCCUUACG
rnacentral:rRNA from 1 species